UACGUAUGUGGCGAGCGUUAUCCGGAAUUACUGGGGGUAAAGGGCGCGUAGGCGGCUGUGUAAGUCAGAUGUGAAAUCUCCCGGCUCAACCGGGGAAGUGCAUCUGAUACUGCAGUACUUGAGUGAUAGAGGGGUAAGCGGAAUUCCGAGUGUAGCGGUAGAAUGCGUAGAUAUUUGGAGGAACACCAGUGGCGAAGGCGGCUUUCUGGCUAGUAACUGACGCUGAGGCGCGAAAGCGUGGGGAGCAAACAGG
rnacentral:rRNA from 1 species